rnacentral:rRNA from 1 species
AUUGAACGCUGGCGGCAGGCCUAACACAUGCAAGUCGAACGGUAACAGGAAGCAGCUUGCUGCUUCGCUGACGAGUGGCGGACGGGUGAGUAAUGUCUGGGAAGCUGCCUGAUGGAGGGGGAUAACUACUGGAAACGGUAGCUAAUACCGCAUAAUGUCGCAAGACCAAAGAGGGGGACCUUCGGGCCUCUUGCCAUCGGAUGUGCCCAGAUGGGAUUAGCUUGUUGGUGGGGUAACGGCUCACCAAGGCGACGAUCCCUAGCUGGUCUGAGAGGAUGACCAGCCACACUGGAACUGAGACACGGUCCCGACUCCUACGGGAGGCAGCAGUGGGGAAUAUUGCACAAUGGGCGCAAGCCUGAUGCAGCCAUGCCGCGUGUAUGAAGAAGGCCUUCGGGUUGUAAAGUACUUUCAACGGGGAGGAAGGGAGUAAAGUUAAUACCUUUGCUCAUUGACGUUACCCGCAGAAGAAGCACCGGCUAACUCCGUG